rnacentral:rRNA from 1 species
UACGGGGGGGGGCAAGCGUUGUUCGGAAUUACUGGGCGUAAAGGGCUCGUAGGCGGCCAACUAAGUCAGACGUGAAAUCCCUCGGCUUAACCGGGGAACUGCGUCUGAUACUGGAUGGCUUGAGUUUGGGAGAGGGAUGCGGAAUUCCAGGUGUAGCGGUGAAAUGCGUAGAGAUGUGGAGGAAUACCGAUGGCGAAGGCAGCCCCCUGGGCCAGUACUGACGCUCAUGCACGAAAGCGUGGGGAGCGAAACAAGG